UACGUAGGGUGCAGGCGUUAAUCGGAAUUACUGGGCGUAAAGCGUGCGCAGGCGGUUUCUUAAGUCAGAUGUGAAAGCCCCGGGCUUAACCUGGGAACUGCGUUUGAAACUGGGAGACUUGAGUGUGGCAGAGGGGGGUGGAAUUCCACGUGUAGCAGUGAAAUGCGUGGAUAUGUGGAGGAACACCGAUGGCGAAGGCAGCCCCCUGGGUUAACACUGACGCUCAUGCACGAAAGCGUGGGGAGCAAACAGG
rnacentral:rRNA from 1 species